rnacentral:rRNA from 1 species
GACGUAGGGAGCGAGCGUUGUCCGGAUUCAUUGGGCGUAAAGAGCGCGCAGGCGGCUUGGUAAGUCGGAUGUGAAAACCCGGAGCUCAACUCCGGGCGUGCAUCCGAAACUGCCCGGCUAGAGGUAGGUAGGGGAGAUCGGAAUUCCUGGUGUAGCGGUGGAAUGCGCAGAUAUCAGGAGGAACACCGGUGGCGAAGGCGGAUCUCUGGGCCUUACCUGACGCUCAGGCGCGAAAGCUAGGGGAGCAAACAGG